AUAUAACUAGGCGGAGGAAAAGAAACUAACAAGGAUUCCCUCAGUAACGGCGAGUGAAGCGGGACAAGCUCAGACGUGAAAUCUUCGGAAUUGUCGUCUGGAGAAGCUAGAUUGCAAGGGAGGCAAAGUCUCCUGGAACGGAGCGCCUUGGAGGGUGACAGCCCCGUUUAUGCCUCCCGCAGCAUUUUCAGCUUUCUACGAGUCGAGUUGUUUGGGAUUGCAGCUCUAAGUGGGUGGUAAAUUCCAUCUAAAGCUAAAUAUUGGUGGGAGACCGAUAGCGCACAAGUA
rnacentral:rRNA from 1 species